rnacentral:rRNA from 1 species
GGAGUUAGCCGGUGCUUCUUCUGUGAGUGAUGUCCUUCCUGCCGGCUAUUAACCCGCAGGCCUUCUUCCUCACUGAAAGUGCUUUACAACCCGAAGGCCUUCUUCACACACGCGGCAUGGCUGGAUCAGGGUUGCCCCCAUUGUCCAAUAUUCCCCACUGCUGCCUCCCGUAGGAGUCUGGGCCGUGUCUCAGUCCCAGUGUGGCUGAUCAUCCUCUCAGACCAGCUACGGAUCGUCGCCUUGGUGAGCCGUUACCUCACCAACCAGCUAAUCCGACAUAGGCUCAUCCGAUAGCGCGAGGCCCGAAGGUCCCCCGCUUUCCCCCGUAGGGCGUAUGCGGUAUUAGCCCUGGGUUUCCCCAGGUUAUCCCCCACUACCGGGCAGAUUCCUAUGCAUUACUCACCCGUCCGCCGCUCGCCACCAGGGAGCAAGCUCCCCGUGCUGCCGCUCGACUUGCAUGUGUUAGGCCUGCCGCCAGCGUUCAAUCUGAGCCAUAAUCAAACUCUGA